rnacentral:piRNA from 1 species
UAGCAUCUGCGUGUCUCCUCAAGUCUU